rnacentral:rRNA from 1 species
GACGAACGCUGGCGGCGUGCUUAACACAUGCAAGUCGAACGGAAAGGCCCUGCUUUUGUGGGGUGCUCGAGUGGCGAACGGGUGAGUAACACGUGAGUAACCUGCCCUUGACUUUGGGAUAACUUCAGGAAACUGGGGCUAAUACCGGAUAGGAGCUCCUGCUGCAUGGUGGGGGUUGGAAAGUUUCGGCGGUUGGGGAUGGACUCGCGGCUUAUCAGCUUGUUGGUGGGGUAGUGGCUUACCAAGGCUUUGACGGGUAGCCGGCCUGAGAGGGUGACCGGCCACAUUGGGACUGAGAUACGGCCCAGACUCCUACGGGAGGCAGCAGUGGGGAAUAUUGCACAAUGGGCGGAAGCCUGAUGCAGCAACGCCGCGUGCGGGAUGACGGCCUUCGGGUUGUAAACCGCUUUCGCCUGUGACGAAGCGUGAGUGACGGUAAUGGGUAAAGAAGCACCGGCUAACUACGUGCCAGCAGCCGCGGUGAUACGUAGGGUGCGAGCGUUGUCCGGAUUUAUUGGGCGUAAAGGGCUCGUAGGUGGUUGAUCGCGUCGGAAGUGUAAUCUUGGGGCUUAACCCUGAGCGUGCUUUCGAUACGGGUUGACUUGAGGAAGGUAGGGGAGAAUGGAAUUCCUGGUGGAGCGGUGGAAUGCGCAGAUAUCAGGAGGAACACCAGUGGCGAAGGCGGUUCUCUGGGCCUUUCCUGACGCUGAGGAGCGAAAGCGUGGGGAGCGAACAGGCUUAGAUACCCUGGUAGUCCACGCUGUAAACGGUGGGUACUAGGUGUGGGGUCCAUUCCACGGGUUCCGUGCCGUAGCUAACGCUUUAAGUACCCCGCCUGGGGAGUACGGCCGCAAGGCUAAAACUCAAAGGAAUUGACGGGGCCCCGCACAAGCGGCGGAGCAUGCGGAUUAAUUCGAUGCAACGCGUAGAACCUUACCUGGGUUUGACAUGGAUCGGGAGUGCUCAGAGAUGGGUGUGCCUCUUUUGGGGUCGGUUCACAGGUGGUGCAUGGCUGUCGUCAGCUCGUGUCGUGAGAUGUUGGGUUAAGUCCCGCAACGAGCGCAACCCUUGUUCACUGUUGCCAGCACGUUAUGGUGGGGACUCAGUGGAGACCGCCGGGGUCAACUCGGAGGAGGGUGGGGAUGACGUCAAGCCAUCAUGCCCCUUAUGUCCAGGGCUUCACGCAUGCUACAAUGGCUGGUACAGAGAGUGGCGAGCCUGUGAGGGUGAGCGAAUCUCGGAAAGCCGGUCUCAGUUCGGAUUGGGGUCUGCAACUCGACCUCAUGAAGUCGGAGUCGCUAGUAAUCGCAGAUCAGCAACGCUGCGGUGAAUACGUUCCCGGG